AAUAACCCACUCAUAAAUCCAAAGACAUCAAGUAAAAUAAAUAGUUCAAACAUGCCAAGAUUGAAUUUUUUUAAGAUGGGUUGUGGUUACUUUUACCUGGGAUGAGAUAGGACAGUGAUGCGAAUAUAAUGCAGACAAUGCAGAGAACAGAGAAGCUUAGCUCAGAAUUUGCCAUUAAAGAAAGGUUUGAGUUAUUACCAAAAAAAAAAAAAGAAAGGUUUGAGGAUGUCUUGAAUCAUCUUCUGGUUCUUGGUCAGCUAAACUUU
rnacentral:lncRNA from 1 species